UUGCUUGUUUAUUGAUUGAGUGUUGCUAUUUGACAUUUUAAGGUGCCUAACACCACACGAGGUGACUCUCUAUGAUUGAUUAGCGAUACUCCAUAUUAGUUAUAAAUUCAAAUUGUAUGGAUCCUCAUAUUAAAUUACAAUAAUAGUGGUAUGCCACUUUCACGUGGUGUUAGGCACCAAUGGUGCCCCUUAUUAUUUCUCUUAUUGAUUAGGUAUAAGUUUUUUUUAGGGUAAAUAUCAUUUUGGACUCUGUAUUUUACAAAAAUUACCGAUUGGACCCUGUAUUUUGUUAAAUGACAAUUUAGACCCUGUGUAUUUGCAAAAUGGAAUAAAAUAAUAUAGUGGGUCUGAUUUUGGUCAAACUUUUUUCAAUACGACUAAAAUACCUAUAGUUUUAUCCAAUUAAUAAUUAAUUAAAUAAUUAAAAAAAUAUUUUAAAAUAUAACAUAAAUAAAAUUGAUUUAAAAAUAAAUAUAUAUUUUUUAAAAAAAUUAAAAUUUUCUCUUUUCUCCAUACUCUGUCAUUUCUCUCCUCCCCUUUCGACUUCUUCUUCUUUUGAUUUUCUAGAUGACUUGUAGGAAACCACCUCUCGUCGACGACAUACGCAACACCAACCACCUCUGCUGACAACGUGAGGGAGACCUGGGGUCGUGAACUACUAGUGGCCUCGUUUCUUUAGGUCGACCAACAAUGAAGGGCUACUGACAUACUUACAGAUCUGGUGUCCCCUUCGACUGAGCUGUUGGUUGCAGAUCUGGAGCAUCGACGGAGUUGGGGAGAGUGGCAGAUCUGGAGCAUCUACGUAUCUAGAGGAGAUCUGUAGCAUCUAUAUAUUUUGAGCAGAUCUAGAGCAACAGUGGGACUACAUGAGGGGCUGGCAAUGGCAGGUCAUCGUUGCUGGAGAAUAAGAGAUGGGUAUCGACUGGGGGUGCCGAUCUGAGUGACAUAGUGAAUGGGAAUGUCAAGCACCUCCAUUUCUUCUGAUCUGUUCUUCUACAUCUUCACGGGUCUUGAUCUGAGCUACUUGACAUCCCAAGCUCCAAAAUCCCUUUUAACCCCUAAAAAAAUACAAGAACAAAGGCCAUCAUGUACUUUUUAGGUUGCAAGUGGUGAGAAGCAGAGAUGGAUUUCUAGGUUGCAAUUGGUGAGGACGCAGUGAUGGUGAUGAUGAGAUGAAGAGACGGUGACAAUGAACAUUGUUGAAUCACAACAUCUAAGAAAACCAACCAUUUCCAGAUCCAGAUCUCUUUUUUUGUUUUUUUAAUUCAAUUUUUUAGGAUUUGAUGUUGUUGGUAAAUAAAUGUUUGAAUAUUGGUUGAUUUUAUUGUGUAGAUUUUGAUAUUUGUACAUGUUUAGAUUUUGAUUAAGUAAUAGAUUUUGUUUAAAUUUUGAUUUAA